UGAGAUUUUAUAAAUCCCUCACAAAAGUGCACUUUACAUCAACAAUAAAUUGAACAAUAAGGCCCGAUUGUACAUUGGCGGCUUAAGCUAUGGCUUAGUUGAACCGGGUUCAAUUUUGAGCGUCGGUUUAACUUCAUUCGGGUUGUUCAAUGCCGAGUUCAGUUAAGCCGAGGUUCAUACAAAUUUUGGUAAGGUUGGCAACGUAAGGCAUGCGUAUUCAAAGCAAUUCCCGUCAAUUCUCGACAUAAAUUUUCCCGCCAUUUAUGUAUUAUUAUUUGGUUUUUGUCAAUAUAAUUCUUUUAUUACUGUUAUUAGUUUAAUCGGUAUUUUCUAUCGUUUAGUUUAUCAGUUUAAUCAAUUUCCUACGUUAAAUUUGUGAACAGACCAUUUGAAUAGCUUGUGAUGAAGGAUUGCGUAAGGGUGUUAUCAGGUUUUCUUGACUCCGUAACCACUAUCACCAAAGAAGAUACUAAUUCAAUCUUCACAUUCUCUUCUCAUAAAUAUUUAACUGUUUACAGCUAUGAUUUCAAAUUCACUCAAAAAUGUUAAUAUUUGCCUUAUUCUAGGGAAGUAGGUAGGUAAUUUAAAUAAUUUUAGAAGGUAAAUUAGUUUGUAAUUAUUAUUAAAUAAAGUGAUAAUAUGUACCUACAUAAGCAUGGUACAAAUAUAAUUAAUUUAAGAUUUAUUAAUAAAUUAUGUACAUCUAAUUUAAUAAAUUAACAAAAUCGUUUUCUACAUUUGCUUCAAAAUCAUUCACAAGUUGCAAAAAGGAGCCUGUUGCUUAAAACCAGUGAUAUGGGCCCACUUCACUGCACAAAACCUUAAUUUAAGGCAAUAAAAACAAUGUUCUUAGAAGAUACAGCUUGGUUCUUGAAAUGUCAAUAACAAAUUUGCCACUUGUUUUCGUUCUCGUUCUUACCUAUCUGUUCGAUUUUUUAUUCUAUGAGCAAUACUAGUUUCAUACAAAUAGUGAACAGUGAACAGAUAUCCAAAAUCUUU